UCCGGUUUGUCACCGGCAGUCUCCUACGAGUCCCCGGCAUUACCCGCUGGCAACAUAGGACAAGGGUUGCGCUCGUUGCGGGACUUAACCCAACAUCUCACGACACGAGCUGACGACAACCAUGCACCACCUGUGCAAGGCCCCGAAGGACACCGUAUCUCUACGGCUUUUCCCUGCAUGUCAAGCCCAGGUAAGGUUCUUCGCGUUGCCUCGAAUUAAGGCACAUGCUCCGCCGCUUGUGCGGGCCCCCGUCAAUUCCUUUGAGUUUUAGCCUUGCGGCCGUACUCCCCAGGCGGGGCACUUAAUGCGUUAGCUACGGCACGGAGUCCGUCGAUAAGACCCCACACCUAGUGCCCAACGUUUACGGCGUGGACUAC
rnacentral:misc_RNA from 1 species